rnacentral:rRNA from 1 species
UACAGAGGUGGCAAGCGUUGUUCGGAAUUACUGGGCGUAAAGGGCGCGUAGGCGGCCGCCUAAGUCAGACGUGAAAUCCCCAAGCUUAACUUGGGAACUGCGUCUGAUACUGGGUGGCUUGAGUUCGGGAGAGGAAUGUGGAAUUCCAGGUGUAGCGGUGAAAUGCGCAGAUAUCGGGAAGAACACCCGUGGCGAAGGCGGUUCUCUGGGACGGUACUGACGCUGAGACGCGAAAGCGUGGGGAGCGAACAGG